rnacentral:tRNA from 1 species
AAGGUCUUAAGUUAUUAAAACUGCGGGACUCAUGCUCCCUUAAAGCUAUUCGCAGACUUUU